CACUAUGCUUAGCCUUAAACAAAAAUAGUUUUACAAUUCGCCAGGGGACUACGAGCGUUAUUAUCCUAACGGCUUAAAACCCAAAGGACUUGGCGGUGCUUUAUUCCCACUAGAGGAGCCUGUUUUAGAAUCGAUGACCCCCGAUCAACCUCACCUUCUUUUGCUUCCAGCUUAUAUACCGCCGUCGCCAGCUUACCCUGCAAAGGAACAUAAGUAGGUACAAUCAAUGACCCUCAAUACGUCAGGUCAAGGUGUAGCCAAUAGGAAGGAAAAAAUGGGCUACAUUUUCUGACUCAGAAAACAAACGGAACACAUACUUAAAACCUGUGUGAAGGAGGAUUUAGCAGUAAGAUUAGGGUAGAGUACUAAUCUGAAACUGGUUCUAAAGCGCGUACACACCGCCCGUCACCCUCCUCAACAACCCCAGCAAUUUAUAAAUAAUACGCCGCACAAUCAUUCAGCGAGGAGGCAAGUCGUAA
rnacentral:rRNA from 1 species